rnacentral:lncRNA from 1 species
CAAGUCAAAGCAGAGAUCUGGAAAAGGCCUGACCCAAGACUGGAAGCUCUAUUUAACCUAGAGAAGGGGUAAGACUCACUGGCCAAUCAAGGCCCCCAGACGGACCUGCCAGUCAGACAAUGAGGAGGGUUCUUCCGGGUGGCUUCCUGCACGUUUGUUUUGGAGUGCAGGCGUGAAUAGUCCUUUCUGUCCUGCUUUGAGUACUGCUGUUGGGUGCCUUGGGGGGACCUUAAGGGAGCUCGGAAGUUGAGACGUGGUGAGUGCGAGAUCACUGCCCACAAAGGGGAGGAGCAGGCGGAUGAACAGCCAGAGCUGCAAUGGUGGAUCCUCCUCCAGGGCUGCAUGGGACGACAGAUAGAUGAGGCUCUAGGACGGGCACAAAUGCUACCCGAAUGCAAACCACUCCGGAGAUCUGUAAAAGGACUGGCCCCGGACAGGAAGCACACUUUAAACUAGAGGCGGGGAUUGAAGGGUUCUCCCUAUGCUGCUUUGAGCGCUGCUAUUGGGUGCCUUGAGGGGACCUCAAGUAAGCUCCAUUUUUGAAACAUGGUAAGCACAUGGUUACUGUCUAUAACGGGUAGAGACAGGUGGCUGAGCAGUGGGAGCUGAGAUGGUGGGUCCUCUCUGGGGCUGGAUGGGAAGCCUCAACCAGAUGUAACCAGAUGUGGCCAAUUGUGCGGUCCUUUGUGAUGCUCCUCACUUGCUAAAACAGGCGGUGAACUCUGAAUAACAUCAGUAUCAGGGCUGAAUCUGCUCAAAACAUUAGGAUUAGGGGCUUGCUUGUAGAAAUAUCACGGGCAGGAUGCCAAACUUGGAGAGCUCUAGUUUCUCUUGAAUCUUCUAUAAGUUUUGCCCCUAGCAUUUACCUAUUAAGUAUAAGAUCCAUUUAUAGUUAAUUUUGUGGAGCUGUUAAAAGGCAUCUCAUGUGCUGGGUAGCACUCCGAUAUUAAGCUGAGAUGUAGAAGAGUAGAAUUGAUGAUGUAAAGGGUUUACCAAGCUUAGGAAAUAGUGACAGUAAGUAGCAUUUAGCUGAUAGAAAACUGUGUCAAAAACACCCCACAGGUUAGUAUGCUAAGCAGGCCGGUUAGAGACUCAAGUUUACUCUUCUGACUGACUGAUUAUUUCUUCAAGACUAAUAGGUUAUUUCUCUGCCAUUGAAAUAAGCCAGUUCAUCCCAGAUUAGAUUAGAUUAGAUCAGAUUAGAUUAGAUUAGAUGUAGGUUUUUUUGGGUGAAGUCCCUGAGGGAGGGGUGGCUUGAGGGGGAAGGAAAGACAUUAGGUUGUGUGCACAGAGAGGAAAGGGAAGGAAAAGGGCAAGAGGAGACCACAAUGUCUGGAUUAUAUAGGAAAGAGCCUCUGGGAGAAGGCAGCCCAGCCUCUGGUCUGGAAAGUUCAGGGUAGGGGACAGGUUUUGCCAGCUAGGGACUGAGAAAACCUGGAGGCCAGGUCUGCUUUGAUAUGUAAAAUACACACCUCAGUGCCUUGUCUAGAACAUUGACCUCUUGAUCUGGUUCACCCCACUACACUGUACCCUCUUCUCUCUACGUAUUAGCUUCAGUCAUCCCCACUCCGAAAUUUCCCAAAUGUCUCUAUGUCUUGCUAUGUUCUCCUUUUUAUCUAUAAUAAAAUUUCUACUACACCAUAACUAGGAGAAGCCAUUUCUUUUCAUUUCUUUUUUUUUUUUCACUCACCUUCCAUUGACCACUUCUUGCUUUCAAAUUAAUGCCACGUUUUGCUUUAGUUGUUGUUACUGUUAGAUUUGACUGAAGUUUAGCUAUAGUACUAAAAAAAAAAAAAAAAACAAACAAACAAGAUGCAAAACAAAAGGCAAUCUCAUACUGAGUCUGGACAAGGCAACGCAAUAGGAAGAAAAGAGUUGCAAGAGCAGUUGAGGAAGUCAGAGCUACAUCUUUUCUCACUGUGAGGAUUCCCACACAAACACCAAGCUAACAGCCAUAACAUACCAGCAGAGGACUUGGUAGACAACCAUGUAUGCCCCAUUUUUGUCAUUUUGGUCUAUGUGAAAUUUUUGGCCAUCCAAGUUGUGUAAGACUUGAGUUUCCUCUCCUGGUAUGGGUUCACGUUAAAGCAACUAAUGAUUCCUGACUCCAAAGAGUUGGAUGCCUCAUGCCCCUGCACAUCUUGCAGGCAGGACAGAUUUUACAUGGAGGGUUUUUAGGUGGGUUGAUGUCCAGGAUUCUCUUCCUAUAGCCUGGAGAGUGUCUUUUCAUCCCAAGAGAGCAGAACACUGGAGUGCAGUCUCCAAGCCUGCAAGCAUGUCUGUAUUCUGUGAACUAUGUGGAAGCUGUCCUCAGCAAUGGCUUUGUUGUCUGUUUUCAGAGAGUAACCUUGGGUCCUAGCAUCACUCUGCAUUGUUUAGGGAUCCCCAUGGGACCUUCUUUUCUUUUGUUUUUUAUCGGGACAGGGUUUCUCUGUAUAGCCCUGGCUGUCCUGGAACUCACUUUGUAGACCAGGCUGGCCUGGAACUCAGAAGUCCGCCUGCCUCUUCCUCCAGAGUGCUGGGAUUAAAGGCGUGUGCCACCACCAUGCCCAGCUCCCAUGGGACGUUCUUGGCCAACAAUUCAAGUGAAUAUAGCCCACUCCUAUUGAAGCCCUGCCUGACCACAAAAGAUGGCCAUUUCAGAUUCUGUAUUCUCCAUUACUAGAAGUCCUCACUAAGGUCACCCUCAUAGAUUCCAGGAAGUUACCCGUAGACUACUUUUCUAUACUAAUUCCCAAGCACCCCAUAAUUUUAGUCACUUCUCACUGCACUGGACUUCCUCUCACUCUUCAAAGUCAGUCCACCCACAGAAUCUAUUCUAAUUCCCUUUCCAGGAAGAUCCAUUCUUCUCUUGGGUAGCCUUCCUCUUUACCUAGUCUCUCUGGGUAGGUAACUUGAUUAUCAUUUACCUAACAAUUUAUAUCUGAGUUUAAAUCAAUGCAUACCAUAUUUGCUUUUCUGAGUCUUGUUUUCUCACUUAGGAGCUUUUUUCUAGUUGAAUCUAUUUUCUUGUAAAUUUCAUGGUGUUCUUUAUUUGUCUGUGUUGUCCAAUCAUUGUGAAUCUCUGCAUCUGUUUCAGUCACAUGCUGGGUAGGCUCCUGUCUGCAUGUAUAAAAUAUUCCACCCUAUAGGUGGAACAACAAUAUGAACUAAUCAGUACCCCAGAGCUUGAGUCUCUAGCUGCAUAUGUAGCAGAAGAUGGCCUAGUCGGCCAUCAUUAGGAAGAGAGGCCCCUUGGUCUAGCAAACUUUAUAUGUCCCAGUACAGGGGAUAGCCAGGGCCCAUAAGUGGGAGUGACUGGGUAGGGGAGCAGGGUGGGAGGAGG